GAUGAAGAACGUAGCGAAAUGCGAUAAGUAAUGUGAAUUGCAGAAUUCAGUGAAUCAUCGAAUCUUUGAACGCACAUUGCGCCCGCCAGUAUUCUGGCGGGCAUGCCUGUUCGAGCGUCAUUUCAACCAUCAAGCCCUGCUUGCGUUGGGGUCCCGCGGCUGCCCGCAGGCCCUGAAAACCAGUGGCGGGCUCGCUAGUCACACCGAGCGCAGUAGCACAUCUCGCUCAGGGCGUGCGGCGGGCUCCUGCCGUGAAACCCCCCACUGUAACCCCAGAGGUUGACCUCGGAUCAGGUAGGAAUACCCGCUGAACUUAAGCAUAUCAAUAAGCGGAGGA
rnacentral:misc_RNA from 1 species